rnacentral:lncRNA from 10 species
CUGUAGGACUCUGAUGUUGAGAUCUCAGAAAUAAGACAAGUAACUGCUUUGUAUUACACCUGCGUAAAGGACAGGCACACUGAUCAAGGGUUUGACUCUUUUCACCGACAAUAAUCUGGUGCCCAACAUUGGGCCUCGGAGAAGACUCAGGACCCUGAAGGAGUUGCCCAAAACUGGAGCUAAGGUACCAGCAGGAGCCCAUUGAAGCCUCACCGAAUUCGAGCUUCUCCUUCGGUGGAACUGAUUAUGAAAAGAGAAAAGGAGAAUGGCUAUGGCCUCAAACCACUUGGAACCCUGAUUUUCCUAAACUUGGCCUCUAAUAUCCACCCCCAUGGAACAUAGCAUCUGAAUGCAACAGCAAGACAGCCGUCUACAAACCAGGAAGAGUGCCCUCGCCAGAAAAUGGAUUUGCUGGCACUUUGAUAUUGGAAUUCCCAGCCCCCAGGACUGUGAGAAAUAAAUUUCUGUCAUUUAAGCCA